CCUACGGGAGGCUGCAGUCGGGAAUAUUGCGCAAUGGAGGAAACUCUGACGCAGUGACGCCGCGUGCAGGAAGAAGGUUUUCGGAUUGUAAACUGCUUUAGACAGGGAAGAAAAAAGACAGUACCUGUAGAAUAAGCUCCGGCUAACUACGUGCCAGCAGCCGCGGUAAUACGUAGGGAGCAAGCGUUAUCCGGAUUUAUUGGGUGUAAAGGGUGCGUAGACGGCGCUGCAAGUCCGGAGUGAAAGCCCAUGGCUUAACCAUGGUACUGCUCUGGAAACUGUGGAGCUUGAGUGCGGGAGGGGCAGGCGGAAUUCCUAGUGUAGCGGUGAAAUGCGUAGAUAUUAGGAGGAACACCGGCGGCGAAGGCGGCCUGCUGGACCGUAACUGACGUUGAGGCUCGAAAGCGUGGGGAGCAAACAGGAUUAGAUACCCGAGUAGCC
rnacentral:rRNA from 1 species